AACGAACGCUGGCGGCAUGCCUAACACAUGCAAGUCGAACGAGAUCUUCGGGUCUAGUGGCGCACGGGUGCGUAACGCGUGGGAAUCUGCCCUUUGGUUCGGAAUAACAGUUGGAAACGACUGCUAAUACCGGAUGAUGACGAAAGUCCAAAGAUUUAUCGCCAGAGGAUGAGCCCGCGUAGGGUUAGCUAGUUGGUGAGGUAAAGGCGCACCAAGGCGACGAUCCUUAGCUGGUCUGAGAGGAUGAUCAGCCACACUGGGACUGAGACACGGCCCAGACUCCUACGGGAGGCAGCAGUGGGGAAUAUUGGACAAUGGGCGAAAGCCUGAUCCAGCAAUGCCGCGUGAGUGAUGAAGGCCUUAGGGUUGUAAAGCUCUUUUACCCGGGAUGAUAAUGACAGUACCGGGAGAAUAAGCUCCGGCUAACUCCGUGCCAGCCGCCGCGGUAA
rnacentral:rRNA from 1 species